CCUUCACUCAGGGUUUAGACGCCAGUUGUCCUACAGACGCUGCCUUCAACUGUAUCACCUCACUCAACUGUCUUACCAGCCACAAACAGUGAGGGUGAUGGCUGGCUACCUGGCCUGCCUGACGUGGAUGUUCCUGCUGGCUCUCUGUUGCACACCUACCCUUGCUCACUCUGGGAACCACGGGUUGGUAGGUGAGGGUGGCAACAGGCAAACUCGUGCGGCUACCACAGCGGGUGGAAACUACCCCGACCGACCAGGAGCGGGAGUGAUAAUAAGGACUCGGCCAGGCAACCGUCGCAGGAUACCACCAGUGAUAAAGGGAAUUUCUUUUUUCAGUUCAAGAAAUCAUACAUUUGCAUAACCAACAGAUGGUGGACAAUUGGACAAUAAACUCAUCCAUUCUGACACACUCCUGAAGAAGCCACACAGAUGUAGUCAGGCAAUAUUGAUUCAAUUGUUUGGAUACAAACUUUUCUGGUGCUCAAUGCAGACGUGAAGUAAAAUAACUUUGAGGGUGUACUCUGCUUCGAAAAAUAACAUUAGCUUUUUCUUGACUUGACGGAUGGAGGAGAAGAAAAAUUAGAGAUGGAAUUAAUAGGAGAAGAGCAACAGAUUUGGUGUGAAAUGGAAAGAGUUACUUCAUGGUAGGACCAGCUGAGGGUGAGGGUAUAGGAAGAGGAAUGGGGGGUGAGGAAGAUGGCAGGAAGCAAAGAAGUAGGAAGAUGGAAGAGAAUAUGGGGAGAGGAAGGAGAACAGGAAUAUAAUUCGCGAAGAAAGAAAUAAGGAGAAGAGGUUCAAAGGGAAGCAGGCAGAGUGGAGACUGUAUAAUAUAACUAUAUGACUUCUUUGGAAAAUAAAUGUGUCUUGUUUCUUAUCUGUAAACAAAUACUGGAGUACUUACCACAGUCUCAUUAUCUACUUGAUGAAUAAAAACAACAAUAAGAAAG